rnacentral:rRNA from 1 species
GAUCCUGGCUCAGGAUGAACGCUAGCGGCAGGCUUAACACAUGCAAGUCGAGGGGCAGCAUAAUGGAUAGCAAUAUCUAUGGUGGCGACCGGCGCACGGGUGCGUAACGCGUAUGCAACCUACCUUUAACAGGGGGAUAACACUGAGAAAUUGGUACUAAUUCCCCAUAACAUUCGAGAAGGCAUCUUCUUGGGUUAAAAACUCCGGUGGUUAAAGAUGGGCAUGCGUUGUAUUAGCUAGUUGGUG